rnacentral:rRNA from 1 species
UACGUAGGGUGCAAGCGUUAAUCGGAAUUACUGGGCGUAAAGCGUGCGCAGGCGGUUACCUAAGCCAGGCGUGAAAUCCCCGGGCUCAACCUGGGAAUUGCGCUUGGGACUGGGUGGCUAGAGUGCGGCAGAGGGAGGUGGAAUUCCACGUGUAGCAGUGAAAUGCGUAGAUAUGUGGAGGAACACCGAUGGCGAAGGCAGCCUCCUGGGCCAGCACUGACGCUCAUGCACGAAAGCGUGGGGAGCAAAC